UUGGAGGGCAAGUCUGGUGCCAGCAGCCGCGGUAAUUCCAGCUCCAAUAGCGUAUAUUAAAGUUGUUGCAGUUAAAAAGCUCGUAGUUGAAUUUCGGGGUUCAUCCGUUGGUCGGGCUUUUUUGGUCUGUACUGGCGUGAUGGAUUCCUACCUUCUGAAUAACCAGCAUGUCAUUAAUUUGGUGCGCUGGGGAAGCAGGACUGUUACCUUGAAAAAAUUAGAGUGCUUAAAGCAGGCUAUCGCCUGAAUACAUUAGCAUGGAAUAAUGAAAUAGGACGGCAUGGUUCUAUUUUGUUGGUUUCUAGGAUCACCGUAAUGAUUAAUAGGGAUAGUUGGGGGCAUUAGUAUUCAAUUGUCAGAGGUGAAAUUCUUGGAUUUAUUGAAGACUAACUUCUGCGAAAGCAUUUGCCAAGGAUGUUUUCAUUAAUCAAGAACGAAAGUUAGGGGAUCGAAGACGAUCAGAUACCGUCGUAGUCUUAACCAUAAACUAUGCCGACUAGGGAUCGGACGAUGUUAAUUUUAUAAUGACUCGUUCGGCGCCUUACGGGAAAC
rnacentral:rRNA from 1 species